ACCUGGUUGAUUCUGCCAGUAGUCAUAUGCUUGUCUCAAAGAUUAAGCCAUGCAUGUCUAAGUAUAAGCAAUUACAAAGCGAAACUGCGAAUGGCUCAUUAUAUAAGUUAUCGUUUAUUUGAUAGUACCUUACUACAUGGAUAACCGUGGUAAUUCUAGAGCUAAUACAU
rnacentral:rRNA from 9 species